CGGGUGAGUAAUACAUCGGAACGUGUCCGCUCGUGGGGGACAACCAGCCGAAAGGUUGGCUAAUACCGCAUGAGUUCUACGGAAGAAAGAGGGGGACCCGCAAGGGCCUCUCGCGAGCGGAGCGGCCGAUGACUGAUUAGCCUGUUGGUGAGGUAACGGCUCACCAAAGCAACGAUCAGUAGCUGGUCUGAGAGGACGACCAGCCACACUGGGACUGAGACACGGCCCAGACUCCUACGGGAGGCAGCAG
rnacentral:rRNA from 1 species